GAGAUAAAAAUACACAAGAAGCGAUUGCCUUCCGUUUCCAGCCACUACAAUCCCCAUCUACUUUCUCUUCCUUUUGCGUUUUGUGUGCUCGCCGCUCUGCCUCACUCUCUUCGUACUGUAUCCUCCGUCGCUUGUGGCUUGCAGUGUGCGCCGCCACCGUGCAGAGAAUCGGACGCGCUCGAGCCUCCCGCCCGUUCUUUUUUUUUUGCCUUUUUUCCAUUCUCUGUGCCUCGUCUCGUCACCGGACACCGACACGUACCGCACCGCCAUCUCUCCACGUAGCCGCUUCGCAUCCAAUACUCGGAUAGGGUUUGGCAUCGUUUUUGUGUCUCCCUACUCCCCCACCCCCUCCGCCGCUUUCCCUCCUUCCCUUCCCAUCCACCACCACCACCACCCUCCCACUCCACUCCCGGCACAGGCCCGUGCUGCCACCAUGCAGGCAGUGCUCACUCACAUUCACAAGGCCAAUGUGAAGGCGCUGGUGCUGAGCCGCAUGAACAUCGCCAUGGUCGUCCUGGACGGGAUCGCGAUGCUGAUGCUGAUCGUCACGUGGGCCUUGUCUGUGAAGAGGGAGCAGGGGGGCGUUCUGGCGCGCUACGCGGCGGGCAUUAUCGGCUUUGUGCUGCUGGCCAUCACCAUGAUGCUCUCUAUCCUUGUGCAGCGCCUGCAGCCGCGCCUCUCCAUUCUGUACGCCCACCAGGUGAUGGCGGUGCUGACGCUUAUCCUAAGCUCCCUCAGCAUGGGUAUGAACGACGUGGUUGUGGACCUCUGCAACCGCGGCAAGCAGGUGGACAAGACGCAGUGUGGCUCCCACAUUGCCGAGACGAUCGCGGAGGUGAUUAUUGCUCUUACCAUGGUCUUCGGCUUCGGAUCCUCGCAGCAGCGCAUCGUCACUUUCAUUGACAAGGGCAUCCUGGACGGCAUCAAAGGCCGCUCCAACGCCGGCGGCUUGACGCAGCUGCCGUAGAGGCGGGCGGCAAAGUCAACGACAGCGGGUGGAUGCGUCUGUCGUGGUCUUGAGGGCAGGACGGGUGCGGUGCGAAACGGAGAGGCGCCGCGCCACGGCAGCAACGCAUAGCGCGCGCCUUACCCAUACAGGCGGGGCUACCGCGCUCGUGCACACGCGCCCCGAUACGCGCCCGAUCGUCACCUUGCUCCCUCCAUCCCUGGAGCCAUCACCGUUAUACCACCACACUCCCGCCUCCUCCAGUGGUCUCCCUUGCCCUUCCUACGUGUGCGCGUGCGUUAGGUGCCUGAGCCCCUCCUUUACGGUACUGUGAAAGCGAAAGACAAUCCUACAAGGAAGCGUCACGGACGCAUGUGGGCGUGUGUGUGUGCGCGCGCCACGGCGACCGCUGCGGUUGGAGGUGCGUGCAGGCUGGCGAGAGGCACGCGGCGACAACGAGGGAGGAAAAACGGAGGAGAGUCAGAGGACAGGCAGAGGAGUCACAGGCGCACAAAAGUGUAUGUGUUGCGGUUGUCCUCGAACUCCUUGUGCUCCCGCACGAUGUCUCUGUCUCUUCGGAUGGGAUGGCAUCAGUGUGAGUGUGUGCGCUCGUCCGCGUAUGUAUCUCGCUCUCGACGGGGGUAUGUGUGUUCAUCUUACGCCCGCUGAUAUUCGUCCUUUCCAUGUGCUAAGACAGG
rnacentral:misc_RNA from 1 species